ACGGACUGAAAAUGACCCCAGGUCUAUCAGUGGUCUGGGGUCAGAUACCUGUGCCUAUAGUAUUGUGGUGCGUUGUGCUUAUCACCUGUCUCUUUCUGUGGCAGUGCAAUAAAACCCAUGUGCCCACAAAU